rnacentral:rRNA from 1 species
UACGUAGGGUGCAGGCGUUAAUCGGAAUUACUGGGCGUAAAGCGUGCGCAGGCGGCUUCUUAAGUCAGAUGUGAAAGCCCCGGGCUUAACCUGGGAACUGCGUUUGAAACUGGGAGACUUGAGUGUGGCAGAGGGGGGUGGAAUUCCACGUGUAGCAGUGAAAUGCGUAGAUAUGUGGAGGAACACCGGUGGCGAAGGCGUCCAUCUGGCCCGAUACUGACGCUGAGGCGCGAAAGCUAGGGGAGCGAACGGG